UACGUAGGGUGCAAGCGUUAAUCGGAAUUACUGGGCGUAAAGCGCGUGUAGGCUGUUCGGAAAGUCGGGUGUGAAAGCCCUGGGCUCAACCUAGGAAGUGCACUCGAAACUCCCGAACUGGAGUCCCGGAGAGGAAGGUGGAAUUCUCGGUGUAGAGGUGAAAUUCGUAGAUAUCGAGAGGAACAUCGGUGGCGAAGGCGGCCUUCUGGACGGUGACUGACGCUGAGACGCGAAAGCGUGGGGAGCAAACAGG
rnacentral:rRNA from 1 species